UUGGUCAUUUAGAGGAAGUAAAAGUCGUAACAAGGUCUCCGUUGGUGAACCAGCGGAGGGAUCAUUACAGAGUUGCAAAACUCCCUAAACCAUUGUGAACGUUACCUAAACCGUUGCUUCGGCGGGCGGCCCGGGUCCUGCCCGGCGCCCCUCGGCCCUCGCGGGCGCCCGCCGGAGGAAAACCAAACUAUUGCAUUGUAUGGCCUCUCUGAGUCUUCUGUACUGAAUAAGUCAAAACUUUCAACAACGGAUCUCUUGGUUCUGGCAUCGAUGAAGAACGCAGCGAAAUGCGAUAAGUAAUGUGAAUUGCAGAAUUCAGUGAAUCAUCGAAUCUUUGAACGCACAUUGCGCCCGCCAGUAUUCUGGCGGGCAUGCCUGUUCGAGCGUCAUUUCAACCAUCAAGCCCCGGGCUUGUGUUGGGGACCUGCGGCUGCCGCAGGCCCUGAAAUGCAGUGGCGGGCUCGCUGUCACUCCGAGCGUAGUAGUUACAUCUCGCUCUGGGCGUGCUGCGGGUUCCGGCCGUUAAAAGCCUUAUUUACCCAAGGUUGACCUCGGAUCAGGUAGGAAGACCCGCUGAACUUAAGCAUAUCAAUAAGCGGAGG
rnacentral:rRNA from 1 species